AUUUGGAGUUGUGUUGGAUUGAAUUCAGAGUCUCAUGCCUCAGCAGCUUUCACAGUUAAUGAUAAAUUGCAGCACAGAGAACUCUUUGGAAAGGUCAUCUGAAUUCCAGGGAUUCUUGAAGAGCAGGGACUAUCAAGACAAAAAGACAUAUGAUGACAUCACACUUGGUUUCUCUGCGUCUUGUGGGAAAAUACCAGUUUGGAGAAAUGGGAAGGAGUGGGCUUGUGUGUACAGGAUCAGCGCGAGAAAAGUUUUCUUUCUAUGCACUAGAAACAUCAUAGAAG